UUCCAGACUCCUACGGGAGGCAGCAGUGGGGAAUAUUGGGCAAUGGAGGCAACUCUUACCCAGCAAUGCCGCGUGAAUGAAGAAGGUCUUCGGAUUGUAAAGUUCUUUAAUUGGGGACGAAAAAAAUGACGGUACCCAAGGAAUAAGCCCCGGCUAACUACGUGCCAGCAGCCGCGGUAAUACGUAGGGGGCAAGCGUUAUCCGGAUUUACUGGGUGUAAAGGGGGCGCAGACGGCAAUGCAAGCCAGGAGUGAAAGCCCGGGGCCCAACCCCGGGACUGCUCUUGGAACUGCAUGGCUGGAGUACAGGAGGGGCAGGCGGAAUUCCUAGUGUAGCGGUGAAAUGCGUAGAUAUUAGGAGGAACACCGGUGGCGAAGGCGGCCUGCUGGACUGUGACUGACGUUGAGGCUCGAAAGCGUGGGGAGCAAACAGGAUUAGAUACCCGAGUA
rnacentral:rRNA from 1 species